rnacentral:rRNA from 1 species
AAAAAAGGUAAGCUACUAAGAGCGAAUGGUGGAUGCCUUGACUGGUAAAGGCGAUGAAGGACGUACUAGACUGCGAUAAGCUACGGGGAGCUGUCAAGAAGCUUUGAUCCGUAGAUUUCCGAAUGGGGCAACCCAAUGUAUAGAGAUAUACAUUACCUAUAUAGGAGCGAACGAGGGGAAUUGAAACAUCUUAGUACCCUCAGGAAAAGAAAUCAAUAGAGAUUGCGUCAGUAGCGGCGAGCGAAAGCGCAAGAGGGCAAACCCAGUGCUUGCACUGGGGGUUGUAGGACUGCAAUGUGCAAGAGGUGAGUUUAGCAGAACAUUCUGGAAAGUAUAGCCAUAGAGGGUGAUAGUCCCGUAUGCGAAAAACAAACCUUAGCUAGCAGUAUCCUGAGUAGGGCGGGACACGAGAAAUCCUGUCUGAAGCUGGGUCGACCACGAUCCAACCCUAAAUACUAAUACCAGAUCGAUAGUGCACAAGUACCGUGAGGGAAAGGUGAAAAGAACUGAGGUGAUCAGAGUGAAAUAGAACCUGAAACCAUUUGCUUACAAUCAUUCAGAGCCCUAUGUAGCAAUACAGGGUGAUGGACUGCCUUUUGCAUAAUGAGCCUGCGAGUUGUGGUGUCUGGCAAGGUUAAGCAAACGCGAAGCCGUAGCGAAAGCGAGUCUGAAUAGGGCGCUUAGUCAGAUGCUGCAGACCCGAAACGAAGUGAUCUAUCCAUGAGCAAGUUGAAGCUAGUGUAAGAACUAGUGGAGGACUGAACCCAUAGGCGUUGAAAAGCCCCGGGAUGACUUGUGGAUAGGGGUGAAAGGCCAAUCAAACUUCGUGAUAGCUGGUUCUCUCCGAAAUAUAUUUAGGUAUAGCGUUGUGUCGUAAUAUAAGGGGGUAGAGCACUGAAUGGGCUAGGGCAUACACCAAUGUACCAAACCCUAUCAAACUCCGAAUACCUUAUAUGUAAUCACAGCAGUCAGGCGGCGAGUGAUAAAAUCCGUCGUCAAGAGGGAAACAACCCAGACUACCAGCUAAGGUCCCUAAAUCUUACUUAAGUGGAAAACGAUGUGAAGUUACUUAAACAACCAGGAGGUUGGCUUAGAAGCAGCCAUCCUUUAAAGAAAGCGUAAUAGCUCACUGGUCUAGUGAUUUUGCGCGGAAAAUAUAACGGGGCUAAAGUAAGUACCGAAGCUGUAGACUUGAUUUUAUCAAGUGGUAGGAGAGCGUUCUAUUUGCGUCGAAGGUAUACCGGUAAGGAGUGCUGGAGCGAAUAGAAGUGAGCAUGCAGGCAUGAGUAGCGAUAAUUAAUGUGAGAAUCAUUAACGCCGUAAACCCAAGGUUUCCUACGCGAUGCUCGUCAUCGUAGGGUUAGUCGGGUCCUAAGUCGAGUCCGAAAGGGGUAGACGAUGGCAAAUUGGUUAAUAUUCCAAUACCAACAUUAGUGUGCGAUGGAAGGACGCUUAGGGCUAAGGGGGCUAGCGGAUGGAAGUGCUAGUCUAAGGUCGUAGGAGGUUAUACAGGCAAAUCCGUAUAACAAUACUCCGAGAACUGAAAGGCUUUUUGAAGUCUUCGGAUGGAUAGAAGAACCCCUGAUGCCGUCGAGCCAAGAAAAGUUUCUAAGUUUAGCUAAUGUUGCCCGUACCGUAAACCGACACAGGUGGGUGGGAUGAGUAUUCUAAGGCGCGUGGAAGAACUCUCUUUAAGGAACUCUGCAAAAUAGCACCGUAUCUUCGGUAUAAGGUGUGGUUCGCUUCGUAUUAGGAUUUACUCCGAAAGCGAAGAAACUUACAACAAAGAGUCCCUCCCGACUGUUUACCAAAAACACAGCACUCUGCUAACUCGUAAGAGGAUGUAUAGGGUGUGACGCCUGCCCGGUGCUCGAAGGUUAAUUGAUGGGGUUAGCAUUAGCGAAGCUCUUGAUCGAAGCCCGAGUAAACGGCGGCCGUAACUAUAACGGUCCUAAGGUAGCGAAAUUCCUUGUCGGUUAAAUACCGACCUGCAUGAAUGGCGUAACGAGAUGGGAGCUGUCUCAAAGAGGGAUCCAGUGAAAUUGUAGUGGAGGUGAAAAUUCCUCCUACCCGCGGCAAGACGGAAAGACCCCGUGGACCUUUACUACAGCUUGACACUGCUAUUUGGAUAAGAAUGUGCAGGAUAGGUGGGAGGCUUUGAGUAUAUGACGCCAGUUGUAUAUGAGCCAUUGUUGAGAUACCACUCUUUCUUAUUUGGGUAGCUAACCAGCUUGAGUUAUCCUCAAGUGGGACAAUGUCUGGUGGGUAGUUUGACUGGGGCGGUCGCCUCCCAAAUAAUAACGGAGGCUUACAAAGGUUGGCUCAGAACGGUUGGAAAUCGUUCGUAGAGUAUAAAGGUAUAAGCCAGCUUAACUGCAAGACAUACAAGUCAAGCAGAGACGAAAGUCGGUCUUAGUGAUCCGGUGGUUCUGUGUGGAAGGGCCAUCGCUCAAAGGAUAAAAGGUACCCCGGGGAUAACAGGCUGAUCUCCCCCAAGAGCUCACAUCGACGGGGAGGUUUGGCACCUCGAUGUCGGCUCAUCGCAUCCUGGGGCUGGAGCAGGUCCCAAGGGUAUGGCUGUUCGCCAUUUAAAGCGGUACGCGAGCUGGGUUCAGAACGUCGUGAGACAGUUCGGUCCCUAUCUGCCGUGGGCGUAAGAAGAUUGAAGAGAUUUGACCCUAGUACGAGAGGACCGGGUUGAACAAACCACUGGUGUAGCUGUUGUUCUGCCAAGAGCAUCGCAGCGUAGCUAAGUUUGGAAAGGAUAAACGCUGAAAGCAUCUAAGCGUGAAGCCAACUCUAAGAUGAAUCUUCUCUAAGCUCUCUAGAAGACUACUAGUUUGAUAGGCUGGGUGUGUAAUGGAUGAAAGUCCUUUAGCUGACCAGUACUAAUAGAGCGUUUGGCUUAUCUUUAAUAAAGCAU